CCACCGUAGAGGAGCGGCAUUCUAUCGAUUUUUCUCCUGGACAAGAGAAGCAGCAGCCGAGCACGAGCGCGAGCGGUGCUCUGGUGGAGGAGAGGAGAGGGAGGCGUGGUCGGAGUCGGAGUAGGAGGAAGAGGAGAUGGUGGUGCUGGUGGUGGCGACGGCGUCGGACCCGGCGUCUAUCGGCCCAGCCGCCGCCUUCCUCGCCAUGCCCGGCUGGUCUCCCGGCCCGCCCAUCCCCGAGGGGAUGGAGAGCUUUACAAACGGGGACGUUCGACUAUUGAAGCAUGAACGCAGCAUCAUUGCGGAGGAUGAUCUUGACAACCGGUGGCAGGCAGCCACUGGAGAGGCUGUUUCUGAGGUCAUAUUCCUCAGCAAACACACUGCUGUCUCCAACCGUCCUGCGCUUACUGUCCAUCCAAUCGGUGUGCCACAUCUAAGAGAAGAUGAGACGCCACCUCAAGGAGGGAGACCAGGAUGGGCAGCUCUGCCCAAUCCUCGAAUUGGUCCAUGGCUCCGUUUGAUGCAAAAGAUUGCGGUAGACCAAGGUCUUGUUCCAGAGUUUGAGAUUACACUGGAAGCUACUCACCAUGGACCAGUCACCAAUACACCAACGAUGUUUGUUGAGAUAGGAAGUACUGAAGAAUAUUGGUGUCGGCAAGAUGCUGCUCAGGCGAUUGCCCUAGUUCUUUGGAAAGGUCUAGGGCUUGAUGAAGGAAAUACUGUUGGAAGUUGGCAGGGUAAUAGUGAAAAAGUUCUACUUGGUAUAGGAGGUGGUCACUAUGCUCCUCGCCAUAUGGAUAUUGUCAUCAAAGAUGGCAUAUGGGUGGGUCAUCUGCUCUCUGGUUACUCAUUGCCUAUGGAAGUGUCACCUCAAGGAAAUGGAAAAAGUUAUAGUGAUGUUGGUGGAAUGUGGAAGCAUUCCAUCAAAGUUUCAUAUGAUGCCACGAAGGCAGCAUUUCCUGGUGGUCAAGUUAUAGCACAUCUUGAUCAAAAGAGCUUCAAGGGCUGGCAAAAGAAUGCUAUCAUGAGCUACUUGCAGGAGCUGAACAUAAGGAUAGGAAAACCUAAUGAUUUCAUCUAAUAUGCUGCAGCAGGUGUCCACAUAAAAUUUUUCUGCGUCGUAUAUCAGCUUCACUCCUGCGGCUGCACAACAACUGCAAACAUGGUUUCUUUUUCAUGAGGUGUAAUUGGUUAUGGUAUUCUCUCCUAAAACUCAGGGACAAAUGGUAAAGGUGCAGCCUGUGCCAGGGAGGCAAAGGAGAAUGCAGCCUCGUGAGUUGAUGAUGUUAAUGUUCCUGGAUGCUACACAUGAGAAGUGAGAAGCAAGCAAUAGUCAUCCUUAAUAUUGCAAGGGAAGCCAGGAUCGAUGCUGCUCUGAAGAAACGGUCUAGAGUCAUGUCAGGAAAGGUGGCAGCAAACCAUCCAGCUAGCACGUUAUCUAGGCUUUCAUAUACUAGCUGUCUAGUAGGAGUAUUUCUCAGGUUUGUGCAUAUGGUGGCCAAAUAAAAAUUAGUACAAAAGAGACCCAUAUAAAAAGGGACACAUUUUAGUAUUAUAAAUCUGGACAAUAGUGAUACUAGGUUACUAUAUUAUGAAACAAAUAGAGUACUUUGUUUUGGGGAUGCAACUAGUUGGACUCCAACAGGGAACUCUUGAACAUUUUUUCUUAUUAUAAAUAGUAUGACUACCAAAGUAACAAAUGACUAUGUGUGCACAUUAUAGAACAAACUUUUUCUA